rnacentral:rRNA from 1 species
UACCAGCACCCCGAGUGGUCGGGACGAUUAUUGGGCCUAAAGCAUCCGUAGCCGGUCCUACAAGUCUUCCGUUAAAUCCACCUGCUCAACAGAUGGGCUGCGGAAGAUACUAUAGGGCUAGGAGGCGGGAGAGGCAAGCGGUACUCAGUGGGUAGGGGUAAAAUCCUCUGAUCCAUUGAAGACCACCAGUGGCGAAGGCGGCUUGCCAGAACGCGCUCGACGGUGAGGGAUGAAAGCUGGGGGGAGCAAACCGG